rnacentral:rRNA from 1 species
GAUAAACGCUGGCGGCGUGCCUAAUACAUGCAAGUCGAGCGGGAUUGGUGGAUCGCAAGUGAUGCCAGUCUAGCGGCGGACGGCUGAGUAACGCGUGGGUGACCUGCCUUGAAGUGGGGAAUAACGGUUCGAAAGAAUCGCUAAUACCGCAUGUGGUCGUAGCUUCGUUGAUGCGACUAAAGCCGCAAGGCGCUUCGAGAGGGGCCUGCGUCCGAUUAGCUAGUUGGUGGGGUAAUGGCCUACCAAGGCUCCGAUCGGUAGCUGGUCUGAGAGGAUGAUCAGCCACACUGGGACUGAGACACGGCCCAGACUCCUACGGGAGGCAG